CUGAAAAUCACUAUUUCUAAACAUGUGUUUCUCUGUUUUUCCAACUAGCCUAACGUUACAUGCCACGGUUUGAGUCGUCACAAUGAUGAAUAUGGUAAGAUGACAGCAAUACGAAGUAAAUCAAAUCUCACUGUGAAUGCAUAUGAACGCAUUACAAAAGUUUUAGGUUUAGAUUUACGUUUAUUUCAUUCCAAAGCAAGACAUUACAAAUAAUAUGUUUGUGUGUGAGACAAAUUCAAGCAAUACAUUAAAAACAAUAUGUUGUGUGUGUGUGUGUGUGUACAUGAGUCUGGCAUAUACUUAUUACAUUGGAAUAUAAUUGUUUUGGAACUCAUGGGUUUUUGAUCCUCUUAAUGAACCUGUUGGUGUUAUCAUCUAAAAAUCCAUUGCAUCAUUUUUAAACUGGGUUCAAAUGAACAAAUUUCUCCUUUUGUUCAGUUGGUAAUUAUAUCGCCUCUGUAAUUAUCCUACCAGUGUAGUUCACUCUUAGACAUACUGUGGAUCCUUGUGAAAUCCAUCUGUGUUAUAUAGGGCACAUCUGCAACACUCCUGUCAUGCAGAGCUGCAAGAAUGUGAAUGCAACAAACACGACCUCGAGCACUCAUGAACAGGAUAUCCAUCCUCUCACAUUCAUCUGCACUCUUCUCAUCCCCAAAGGAAUGUGCAUAUAUUACCUUUUAACAUUACAGGUGAGCUUUGCUUUUCACAGAUAAUUGUGCAGAAAUUUCCAAAGUUGCCAAUUAGCAUUAACAAAAGAUUUAGGAUUAAGUGUAAGAACCCAAACACACAACACAAGAUAAUUAUAUCAAUUUGUCAUGAGAAAUCAAAACAGAUAAUUUUAGGAUCAUUUGACCCAGAGUGUUUUACUGACACAUUGGUGAAAACAAAAGAUGCAUACAUACACACACACAUUAUGCUAAUAAGUUAUUUGAGAAGUUAAUUGCAUAGAUGUACUGUAUGUAAUCAUGAAAGAUUCAUUCUGGCUUAUGCAAGCAUCUGUGUUGUGAUUUAAAAAUGCAAAACUGAUUUAUUGGACUAUAUAAACUGUGAUAAACAUUAAACAUUUGGUACUAUGCAAAUAAUCUGUAAUUAUAUUACUAAGUACUUAUGGUAUCCAGUAUUCCGUGUUUUUAAUAGACUACUAAAAUGCUGUGGGUGGUUUCCUCCCACCAAAUGUUACUUAUAAAUAUAUACAUACAAAUACUGAUAAUGCAUGGAUUGUAUUUGUUUAGGAAAGGCUUCUCUUCUUAAUGAACAAGACCUGUGCUUAUAAAAUGUCCUCAGUUUCCUCCACAGUGUCUCUGGGACAGCAGCAACUGCAGCACCGUCUGAUCCAGUGCAGUAGCCGCAAUCUCCGUGAAGUUGGCCCGACUAUGCCUCCUCUCUGGGAUUCUCCUUUCGCUCCUUUCUCCCUCUCUUCACUCAGGGCAUGCACAGAAAUCUCCAUCCUUCCACCGACUCUUUCCAUCUGUUCAGUCGUCACUCUUUGAGCUCCUCCAAUCUGCUCUCCAUCUCCUUCCAGCAUCAGCGUUUGCACGGCUCUGUCCGUCACCCGUCUGAAUCUGUCCACUCUUAGAGCUGCAUCACUAAUGAGGCGCUCCAUAAUCUCCAAGUGCUGACUACUUGUUUCUGUUUCUUCACUCUUCAGUCGAUUGAUUUCAAUCAGCAUACACUCCCUUAACAGAAGUAUUUCCUUUUCCUUUUCUAUGAGCAUGAGUCUGUCAGUUUCCCUCUCAUGCUGGAGGGCUUCAUUAUAUCUUUCCAUUUCAGCUUUCCGUAGCUCCAACUCGAUUUGUUCUCUUUGCAUUCCCAGUCUUUCCAGUUCCUUCCUCUGUAUGUCUUGUAAUCUGUUCUUUAGUUCAUCUUUCAUUUCCUGUAUUCUCCUUUUCAUUGCAUCUAUCUCUUCAUACUGUGGUGGAGCAUCUCUUUCCUGGUCUUCAGUUUGUGUCUCUUGAGUUCUCUUCUGCUUAACAUCCUCUGUAUGUUCUUGAAUGGAUUUUGUAGUUGCCAUUACUUCAUGAUCUUCUUGUUCACUCUGAAUAUUAGUUUCCUGUUGAGUCUUCUCAGUCCUUGUCUGUCUUUGUAUGUCAGUCUCAAUUUGUUGCAGUUCUCUUCUUUUGCAUUCAUAGCUUUGUGUGAGAUGAUCAAUCUCCUUGGUAAGUCUCAGUACCUCAGCUUGAACCUUCUCCAGGCUGUUCCUCCUCCUCUCGAGACUCUCCAUGAUCACUGACUUUUCUUCUUCAGCGGUUUUACAUUCAUCCCUCAAUUUAUGCAGGUGAUCCUUUGCCUUCUCCAUCUCAAGAAGGCCAGUUUGUAUGAUCUUCAUUUUAUUCUCCAUUUCGUCAUGUUGCCUCUGUAGUUCAGCUCUCAUGAUGUUUAGCUCAUCUCGUUCUAGGGUUGUGCCAUCCAUUAGCUGAAGAACUUCUCUUUGGGUGUCAGUUUUGUAGAUUUUUGCUUUUGUUUCUCCAUCUGUUUUGGCCCAAUGAAUCUCAGUCAGUUCCAGACUGCUGUCUCUGUCUGUCUUUUUCUCCUCUUUAGUGUCUUGUACUUGUUCCAAUGCUUUUUUGUAUGUGACUUUCUCAGCAUCCCUGUCACUUUUAACGGAAGUAUCAUCUGUUUUUCCCUUGAUUUUUAGUGUCUCCUGUUCAUUUUGCUUUUGUUGAAGCAACUCAUUUUCAAUGUUUUCCUUCUCUUCUUUCAGUGACCCUAUAGUCUCUUCCAGUUGUCCCAACUUUAUCACGAAUGCUUCUGUGAUGCUCUCUAUUUCCUUAUUUUUCUUCUCAAGGUUGUUUGAUAAAUCCUCCUUGUCUUGUGUAAGUUGUAGCAGUUUUUCUUCAUUUCUUGACUUCUCCUUCAUGACUUCCUUCAUAUUUCUCUCAAAGUCUUUUUUUGCUUGUUCCAGUUCAUGUCUCUCUUUUUUCAUCAUUGUCUUCAUUCUCUCCAAAUCUUCAAUUUCUUUGUUUAAAGAGUCCAUUAUUUCUUGCACUUCAGAUGGGUGUGUGUCUUUUGACUUGGCCACAGUGGGUUGUUUUUUCUUUGUUGCAGCCGUUUCAUCUUCUAAUUCCUUUUGUCUACCAUCAUCUGUUUUCUUAAAGUCAUCCAAAGAUGUUUGUGUUUCAGCAUCUACUGAGGUGGUCUUCAUCUGAUAUAUCUCAAGUUCAUCUGUUUUUUGUUUCUUUACUUCUACGUCCUCUCUUAGGACAUCAGCAUCCCUCUUUGAGUGAUCUUUUGUUUUCAUCUCUUCUGGUAAGCGAUGCAUUUCUACUUUCUGUCUCUUUAUUUGAAUCUCCAUGUUUAACAUCUCCAGUUCAGAUAAUUGUCUGUUUAUUUGCUUUUGCAGGUCCUCCAUUGUUCUUGUCUUUUCUUCUAUAAUGCCUUCCAUGUCCUCUUUUUCUUUCUGCAUCAUGUCUUUAUCUUGUUGCAGCAAAGUUCUCUCAUGUUGUAUGCUUUGUUUGCUGUCUUCAGCCUCUUUCUUCAGUCUGUUUAAAUCAGCUCUCUCCUUUUCGAUACGAUAUUUUUCACUUUCAUUUAUCUUUUUGCUGUUUUCAAUCUCCUUUUUGUCCCUUUGAAUGUCAUUAUUAAGCUUUUCAAGCUCUUCUUGUUUUGUCUGGAUAUUUUUAUUGAGCAUAUGUCUGUGUUCAUCAAGUUCAGACUUCUCUUUCUGAAGCACAUCUCUCUCUCGUUUGAUGACCACCAUGAUGUCUUCUAAUUCCUGCUGCUGUUGAUCUAAUGUGAGCUUUUUCUUUUCGAUCUGAUUUUUUUCCACCUCAAUUGUGUUCCUCAGUUCUUCUAGUUCAUCCAUCUGUUUCUGGAGAUCAGCCUGCAAUUCAGCAUCUGUCUUUUCUUCUUCAGUGUCCUCCUUGACCUUUUGUAAAGCAGCUUGGAUCUGUGUUUCACUCUCCACUGCUGUUUUUACAUCUUUCUUCUUUAUUUGGGUCUUGGCUUGCUGAUCAAUUUCUGUCAGUAAAUCUGCUCUUUUCUGAGUUAAAUUUUCCAUCUCUUUUUCAAACUGUUCUCUGUUUUCUGCCAUUUCUUGCUUGGACCUUUCAAUUUCAAAAUUUAAGCUUUGCAGUUCAUCUUUCUUUCUCUGGAUUUCUUUCUUCAAAGCAUCAGUCUCCUCUCUUUCCUUUCCAAGAGGAUCUGCUGUGAUUUUCUCAAGCUCAUCGGUCUGUUGCUUUGCAUCAACUUUGAUUUGAUCAAAAACAUUCUUCUGAUCUUCAAAUGUUUUGAUUUUUUCUUGUAGUUGUCGUCUGUCUUGUUCUAGAUGAGUUUUCAUGCUCUCUAAAUCAUUUCUCACUUUUCUGUUUUCAUUCAUCAAGCCAUCUACCUCUUGCUGCUGUUGAUUCAUAACAAUUUGCCUCUUUUCCAGCUGCAUUUUCUCAGCUAUCACAAUGUUUCUUAAGUUAUCUACAUCUUUUCUUUGCAUGUCAAGUUCUUUUUCUUUGUUUUCCAGAUCCUGUUCUUUAAGUCGUAUUUCAUUCUGUGUGCUUUCCACUGUCUCUCUUAGCUGUGUUAUAUCAGUAAUCUUCUGCUCCAAUGUCAGCCUCUCUUUGUGCAGUUCUUGCAUUGUCAAGUCAUUUUUUUCUUUUUGCUUUUGGAGAUCUUCUCUUAGAGCCUCAUUCUCUGCUUUGCUCUUCUCUAAGUUCUCUUUCUGUGUCUGAAGUUGCAGUAGAUCUGAUUGCAGAAGCUUUGUCUGCCUCUCGAUGUCGGCACGCAUAGUACUGAGCUCUUCUUCUUUCCUUCUCAUGUCAUCCAGUCUCUUUGGAAUGUUCUCUUGGUCUUUACUGAUUUGAGAGGUGAUUCGGUCAGUUUUCCUGAUUUCCUCAUUAAGAUUUUCAGACUUUCUUUGUAAAUCUGCCUUGAUCUCCUCCAGAGAGUCUUUUUCUUUUUGAAUAUUUUGUUUGUCAUUGUUCAUUUGCACAAUGUUGCUGUCCAGUUGAGAUUUUUUAUUUUCAGUUUCGUUCAUUAACUGCUUCAGCAUUUUCUUUUCCUCUUCAAUGCUCUUCUUCUCCAACUGUAACUCGGUUUUUAAUUGAUCCAUUUCAUGUUUUUCUGUUAACAGUCUGUCCAGCAUAUCUUUCUUCUCUUCCUCAGAUUUAUUUCUCAAUUGCUCUAGGUCUUCCAACUCACUCUUGAUGGUUUUCAGAAUGUUUUCCAUCUCUUGCUUUUCUUGUUUUACUUCUGCUUUCUCUCUGUCAAGUUCAAUUUUCUCUCUUUCUAAGAUAUUCCUUAGCUCUUCUACUUUGGUUUUCUGUUUCUGUAUAUCUGCUUCGCAUAGAGUUACUUUCUCUCUCUUAUUUUCCAUUUCAGUGGUUUUCCUUUCUAGCUCAGCAUUCAUUUUCUCCAAAGCCUUUCUUUCUCUUUGCAUGUCAUUCUCUUUGAUUUCAAAAUCCUCUUGCUGUUUUCUGAUUAUUUUCUCUAGCUCUUCAUGUUUAGUCUGUAUUUCUGCAUUCAUCUGUUCAAUUUGAUUCCUUUCUUUUGCUAACCUCACCUUGACAUUUUCUAUGUCUUCUAACUGUCUCUGUAUCUCAACUUCAGCAUGCUUCUCUCUUCUUUUGUUUUCCUCUGCUAGUUUAUCCAUAUCUUCUCUUUCUUUUUGUUGUUGAAUAACUAAAGCAUUUAGAUUUUCCCUCUCUUUUUGUAAGUCCUUCAUAAUUUUCUCUAGAGCAUUUGUCUCGUGUUGAAUCUCAGUCCUUAUGUCUUCUAAUUUUUGUUUUUCAAGCUUGAUCUCUUCUUUUUGGUCAUUUAAUUGGGUUUGCAUCUUUUCAAUAUGUUCCAUCUCUCUAUUAAUUCUCUCUUUGGUGGUUUCAACGUCCUCUUUCUCUUUCAGCAAUUGAUCAUUCAGAUGUGCUAGUCUUUUUCUCUCAGUUUUUAAGACUUGCAUGUCCUCGUCAUCUUGUCUGGACCUUUCAGUGGCUACCUGUGUCUCAACCCACUUUAUUUCUGCAGCUUUCCCAAUGUCUUCCACUUGUUGUUUGUGUUUGUUUAUUUCACACCUCUCUUGUUCUAGCUCACUCUUCUCCAUUGUCACUUCAUUCAUCAUUUCUUCUAGGUCUUUUGUCUGCUUUUGAAUUUGUUCUUUCAUGUGCAGCAGCUCGUCUCUUCUCAUUCUUAAAUCUUCAUUUUCCUUUUUAAUUUGUUCACGUUCUUCAGCCAUCUCAUCCUUAAAUUUCUCCAGAUUUUUCUUCUCUGCCUCUCUCUCCUCUGUUUUGAACUGUAGAUUUUCUAAUUCCUUAAGCUUAAUAUUCAGUUCAUUCACCAUGUCCUGUAAUCUCAUUUCUGCUUCUCUCUUUUCUUUUUCUAGAAACUGACAAGUGCUUUUCAAUUCUGAUUUUUCUCUGUUCAAAUUGUCAUUCAUCUGUUCCAGGUCAUCCUUCUGUCUCUUGGUUUCAUUGAGGAUUGCUUCAAUCUGGAUAAUUUUAUCUUGUAAGAUCUUAUCACUGUCCGUGACCCUUAUUUCUGCAGCCAUUUGCUGCAUUUCAGCUUUCUUCUUUUCCAGCUCACCCUUCUCUCUUGUUAUAAUGUCCAUCAUGUUUUCAAUUUCUCUCUGCUCAUUCUGGAGGUCGGCUUUCAUCCUUUCUAUUUCAUCUUUCUCUUCUUUUAAUGUGUGCAUAACACUGUGAGUUUCAUCAUAUUGCACUUCUGCAUUGGUUUUCUGUGGUUCCUCUUUCUGCAAAUCUGUUUUUAUUUGCUCCAGUUCAUGUUUUUCUCUCUCACAUUCCCUUUGUAUCUUCUGAAUUUCUUCUCUUUCAUUGUCAAUUUCAGUCUUCAUUUUUUCAAAUUCUGCUCUCCUUUGAUGAAGCUCUUUUUGUCUCCGUUCUUCAGUGUGCUCCAUUUCUUCUUGCUUUGUUUUCAUUUCCUCCUCAAUCUGUUUAAUCUUGUUUAUCCUUUUAUUCGCCUCAGUCAUAAUAAUUUUAAACUCUUCCUGUUCUUUGAAAAGUUGAGCUGCCAUUUCUUCUACCCUUUUCUUUUCUUUCAGUACAUCAUCCAAAAGUCUUUCUAUGUCCUCUGCUCUCCUUAACCUUGAUUCCAGCUUGUCUCUUUCUGUCUCUGUGUUUUGUUUCAUAAGCCUAAACUCCUCUUUAUGUGUCUCCAGAUCGAUUCUCAUUCUAUUCAGUUCAUUUCUUUCUGAGUUCAGCAUUGCCUGACGCAUCUCCAUUUCCAUUUGCUCCUUCUGCAGCCCAGUGAGUAUUUUUUCAACUUCAUCCCUCUCCUUUCUUAAUGCUUCCUUUUGGUUCUGUAUUUCCUCCAGGUGUCUUUUUAUAUACUCCUCUCUCUCUGGAAGUAUUUCAGUUAACUCGUGUUCCUCCAUUUCUUUGGUGUCCACCAUCUCUUGUCUCUUUCGUUUUAGCUCUGUAUUUAUGAAGUCCAACUCCUCUUGUCUCUGUUUCAUCUCAGCAGAGAUGGUUUCCAUUUCUCUCUUCUUUUUUUGUAGUUGAAAUUCCAUGUUUUCUAUUUUCUCCUGUUUGCUCUUGAUCUCCAUUAGAAUUUUUUCCAUGUCCAUCUUAAUUUGAUCUUGAGUCAUUUCUAACUCAGAUCUUUCAUUUUCCAUAUUCUGUCUGCAUAACUCCAUCUCUUCAUAUUGUUUCUCCAGAUUCUUCCUCUCUCUGUCAGUGUGUUGUCUCAUUGUCUCAAUCUCUUUCUGGUCUCUCUGUAAAACAAGUCUUGUCUUUUCUAGUUCCCUCUUCUCAGUCAUCAACAUUUCAGUAAGGCCAUCCACUUCAUCUUUAUUGAACUCCAACUUUACUGUCAUGGAUGGAUCAGCUAUAUCUUUAUAUUCUGUUGUCAGUGCAGUGUCUUCUUGGCUCGAGUCCAUUUUGGUUUCUUCACUUCUCAUUUUGAGCUCUGUGUCCUCCUGAUCUCUCAUUCUCUCUAAUUCGUCUUCCAUCCCUUUUGUCAUGAAAGUUGUAUAUUCCUUAUGAAUGCCUGUGUGUUCCUCAACAAUCUGUUCCUGAGGGGCUGAAAUGUUACCUACAGGAAUGUUGUCUAGAUCAGAUGUUUGUGUAGCAGAACUAACCAAAAUUAAUUCCAGCCUCUGUGUUGGUUGUUUUCUCUUCAUCUCGUCCAUUGCCUCUCUCUGAUGUUCAAGGAUUUUUUUGUUUCUUUCAAGUGCUUCCCUUUCCCUUUGAAUCUCGGACAAGAGUCUGUUGGCUUCAUCUAUCUGUAUCUGUUUUCCUUGAGAGGCCAUUUCUUCUCUCUUCUGUUGAAGAAGCUGUCCAGAUAGAUGUUCUUCUUUUAAUGUUUCAGACACAUCUUUCUCUUUUUCUAACUGUUGUGUCUGCUCUUUCAUGAUCUCUGUUUUAUCAGUCUGUCUCUUGAUUUCAGCCUUGGACUGUUCCAGAUCUUGCCUCUCAUCUUGCACUAUUUGCAAUUCCAGUUUGAUUUGCUCUUCUUGAGCAUUGAGUUCGGCUUUUGUUUGAUCCAUUUCCUUCUUUAGAUGGUCUAUCAUAUCCUUGCUCCUAUCAGUUUCUUUUUGUUCUAUCAAUAUCUUGGCCAUCAGUUGAUCAAGUUCCUCUCUCUCCAUCUUUGCUUUUACUCUCAUUUCUUCUUCCAUUUGUUGUCUGUAUUUUUCAAAAUCAUUUCUCAUGUUCUCUAGAUCUCUUCUCUCCUCAUUCACAACUCUUAUACUCUCCUCCAGUCUUUGCUGCUGUUGAUUAAUUUCAGCCUUUUCAGUCUGUAAGUCAUUUUUGAUUUCUUCAAUUUCGUCUCUUUGUUUUUGCAAUUUCUUCUGGAGAACAUCCAGCUCAUUCCACUUCUUCAUCUUGUCGUCUUUUUCUUUCUCUAAUUCAUUUCUCUGUCUCAAGAUUUCACCAGCCUUGUGCUCAAGAAGCUUCUUCUCUUCAUCCAUUGAUCUUUUACUCAUCUCUUCUUUUUCUUUUUGUUCUGUCAUGUGCUUCUCUAGGUCAUCAGCCCUUCUUUGCAAAUCUUCUCUUUCCUUUUCAAUGUUAUUUCUAUCUUUUUCCAGAAGAUUUUUCUCUGUCUCAAACUUUUGAUUUUGUUGUGAUAUAUCAAACAUGAUUUUCUCUAAUUCACCCCUUCUCCUGUUUGUUUCUUCUAUGACUCUUUCAUAUUCCUUAUUAGCCUGUUUAAGUUUUUCUUCCAUUUCUGUUUUUUCAUCUUUCUUUCUGGUGUCCUCCAGAACAUUCCUCAUAGACUCAGUCUUUGACUGUUCAUAUUCAUAAAUUCUCUGUUGUAAUUCUGUCAAUUUAUGAUUCAUUUCUUCUCUUUCUUUUUCUAGAAGGUCUCUGCAGUUCUUUAACUCUUGUUUUUGUUUAUUUAUAUCUGUGUUCAUCCUUUCCAGAUCUUCUUUUUGUCUGUUUGUUCUUUCAGUGACACUCUCAAUUUCUUCCUUUUCCUUUUGUAGAUGAGCUUCCUUUUCUUUCAUUGUUUGUCUCUCCUUAUUAAUUUCCUCUUCCAUGUAUUGCACUCGUUCACUUUCUUUUUGCAGUUCUGUCUUUAUUUGAGACAGAAAAUCUUUUUCAUCAUUGAUCUUUUGUCUCUCAAGUUCAAUUUCUUCUUCAUGAAGUUUAAUAUUAUUUCUCUUUUCUUCCUCCUCAUUCAAUAAUUUCUGUACAUUUUCUUUGCUUUUCUCAAUAUUAGAUUUUUCUAGAUCUGUCUGUUUUAUUUUGUUGUCAAGUUCUGAUCUCUCUUCUUCUAUUUGUUUUCUUUGUAACAUUACUUCAGACCACAUCUUCUCAAGGUCAUUUCUUUUCUGUUCAAUGAUCUUUUUGGCAUCAUUAAUUUUCUUCUGCUCAUGAUCUAUUUUAGUUUUCUCUCUUUCCAGUUCACUCUUUAUCUGACCAAAUUCUUCUCUCUCCAUCUUUUCUUUUACCAUCCUUUCUUCUUCUUUCUCUUGUUCUUUCUUAAUAUGUUCUUGCAGUGUACACAACUCUUGCAUUUUUAGGCAUAUGUCUUGAUGUUCCUGCUCAGCUUUAGUUUUCAGCUUUUGAAUCUUGACUUUGGUCUCUUCUAGACCUUUUCUUUCUUCUUCUAUUUCCUUUUGUUCUGUUAGAUAUUCUUCCUUCUGUUUGCUGACUUGAGCAUCAAAUGCAUUCAUUCUCAGUUGUAACACUGUCCAUUUAUGGUUUAUUUCUUCUCUUUCUUGUUCUAGAAGGUCUCUGCUGUUCUUCAACUCUUGUUUUUGUUUAUCCAGAUCCUCUUUCUGUCUCUUUGUUUCUUCAGUGACACUCUCUAUGUCUUCCUUUUCCUUUUGUAGAUGAGCUUCCAUUUCCUUCAGUGUUUCUCUCUCCUUCUUUAUUCCCUCCUCCAUGUAUUUGAUUUGUUCGCUUUCAUUUUGCAGUUCUGCCUUACUUUGAGCUAAAAUUAAUUUUUCAUCAGUGAUCUUUUGCCUUUCGAGGUCAAGUUCUUCUUUCUGGAGUUUAAUAUAAUUUCUCUGCCCUUCUACUUUAUCCAUUAAUUUCUGAACUAUUUCUUUGUUCUUUUCAAUUUCAUCCUUUUCUAGAUCAAUAUCUUGUAUUUUCUGGACAAGUGCUGAUUUCUCUAGUUUGAUUGCUUCUCUCAUGUCUUCCAUUUGCUUUCUUUCUGUCAUAAUGUCAGACCUUAUCUUUUGGAGGUCUUUUCUUUCCUGUUCAAACAUCUUCUUAUCAUUGUCCAUUUCAGUUUUCUCUCGUUCCAGUUCCCUUAUUAUCUGAUCAAGUUCUUCUUUCUCUAUCUUUGCUUUUACUCUCAUUUCUUCUUCUUUCACUUUUUCUUUAAUAAAAUGUUCUUGCAGAGUGUUCAACUCUUGUAAUUGUUGGCUUAUGUCUUGUUGUUCCUGCUCAGCUUUAGUCUUCAGCUCCAUGAUCUUGACUUUGGUCUGUUCUAGACCUUUUCUUUCUUCUUCCAUCUCAUUCUGUUUCAUGAAAUCUUGUUCCUUCUGUUGCCUGGCUUGAGUAUCAAAUUCAUCAAUUCUCUGUUGUAACUCUGUCCAUUUAUGGUUUAUUUCUUCUCUUUCUUGUUCUAGAAGGUCUCUGCUGUUCUUCAUCUCUUGUUUUUGUUUAUCCAGAUCCUCUUUCUGUCUCUUUGUUUCUUCAGUGACACUCUCAAUGUCUUCCUUUUCCUUUUGUAGGCGAGCUUCCAUUUCCUUCAGUGUUUCUCUCUCCUUCUUUAUUCCCUCCUCCAUGUAUAUGUUUUGUUCAGUUUGUUUUUGCAGCUCUGUCUUACUUUGAGCUAGAAUUAAUUUUUCAUCAGUGAUCUUUUGUCUUUCGAGGUCAAGUUCUUCUCUUUGGAGUUUCAUAUAAUUUCUCUGCUCUUCUACUUUAUCCAAUGAUUUCUGAACUAUUUCUUUGUUCUUUCCAAUUUCAUCCUUUUCUAGAUCAAUAUCUUGUAUUUUCUGGACAAGUGCUGAUCUCUCUAGUUUGAUUGCUUCUCUCAUGUCUUCCAUUUGCUUUCUUUCUGUCAUGAUGUCAGACCUUAUCUUUUGCAGGUCUUUUCUUUCCUGUUCAAUCAUCUUCUUAUCAUUGUCCAUUUCAGUUUUCUCUCGUUCCAGUUCCUUUAUUAUCUGAUCGAGUUCUUCUCUCUCUAUCUUUGCUUUUACUCUCAUUUCUUCUUCUUUCUCUUUUUCUUUCAUAAUAUGUUCUUGCAGUGUGUUCAACUCUUGUAUUUUUAGUCUUAUGUCUUGUUGUUCCUGCUCAGCUUUAGUCUUCAGCUCCAUGAUCUUGACUUUGGUCUGUUCUAGACCUUUUCUUUCUUCUUCCAUCUCAUUCUGUUUCAUGAAAUCUUGUUCCUUCUGUUGCCUGGCUUGAGUAUCAAAUUCAUCAAUUCUCUGUUGUAACUCUGUCCAUUUAUGGUUUAUUUCUUCUCUUUCUUGUUCUAGAAGGUCUCUGCUGUUCUUCAUCUCUUGUUUUUGUUUAUCCAGAUCCUCUUUCUGUCUCUUUGUUUCUUCAGUGACACUCUCAAUGUCUUCCUUUUCCUUUUGUAGGCGAGCUUCCAUUUCCUUCAGUGUUUCUCUCUCCUUCUUUAUUCCCUCCUCCAUGUAUAUGUUUUGUUCAGUUUGUUUUUGCAGCUCUGUCUUACUUUGAGCUAGAAUUAAUUUUUCAUCAGUGAUCUUUUGUCUUUCGAGGUCAAGUUCUUCUCUUUGGAGUUUCAUAUAAUUUCUCUGCUCUUCUACUUUAUCCAAUGAUUUCUGAACUAUUUCUUUGUUCUUUCCAAUUUCAUCCUUUUCUAGAUCAAUAUCUUGUAUUUUCUGGACAAGUGCUGAUCUCUCUAGUUUGAUUGCUUCUCUCAUGUCUUCCAUUUGCUUUCUUUCUGUCAUGAUGUCAGACCUUAUCUUUUGCAGGUCUUUUCUUUCCUGUUCAAUCAUCUUCUUAUCAUUGUCCAUUUCAGUUUUCUCUUGUUCCAGUUCCCUUAUUAUCUGAUCGAGUUCUUCUCUCUCUAUCUUUGCUUUUACUCUCAUUUCUUCUUCUUUCUCUUUUUCUUUCAUAAUAUGUUCUUGCAGUGUGUUCAACUCUUGUAUUUUUAGUCUUAUGUCUUGUUGUUCCUGCUCAGCUUUAGUCUUCAGCUCCAGGAUCUUGACUUUGGUCUGUUCUAGACCUUUUCUUUCUUCUUCCAUCUCAUUCUGUUUCAUGAAAUCUUGUUCCUUCUGUUGCCUGGCUUGAGUAUCAAAUUCAUCAAUUCUCUGUUGUAACUCUGUCCAUUUAUGCUUUAUUUCUUCUCUUUCUUGUUCUAGAAGGUCUCUGCUGUUCUUCAUCUCUUGUUUUUGUUUAUCCAGAUCCUCUUUCUGUCUCUUUGUUUCUUCAGUGACACUCUCAAUGUCUUCCUUUUGCUUUUGUAGACAAGCUUCCAUUUCCUUCAGUGUUUCUCUCUCCUUCUUUAUUCCCUCGUCCAUGUAUUUGUUUUGUUCAGUUUGUUUUUGCAGCUCUGUCAUACUUUGAGCUAGAAUUAAUUUUUCAUCAGUGAUCUUUUGUCUUUCGAGGUCAAGUUCUUCUUUCUGGAGUUUAAUAUAAUUUCUCUGCUCUUCUACUUUAUCCAUUAAUUUCUGAACUAUAUCUUUGUUCAUUUCUGUCUCAUCCUUUUCUAGAUCAAUUUCUUGCAUUUUCUGGUCAAGUGCUGAUCUCUCUAGUUUGAUUGCUUCUCUCAUGUCUUCCAUUUGCUUUCUUUCGGUCAUGAUGUCAGACCUUAUCUUUUGCAGGUCUUUUCUUUCCUGUUCAAACAUCUUCUUAUCAUUGUCCAUUUCAGUUUUCUCUCGUUCCAGUUCCCUUAUUAUCUGAUCAAGUUGUUCUCUCUCUAUCUUUGCUUUUACUCUCAUUUCUUCUUCUUUCACUUUUUCUUUCAUAAUAUGUUCUUGCAGUGUGUUCAACUCUUGUAAUUGUUGGCUUAUGUCUUGUUGUUCCUGCUCAGCUUUAGUCUUCAGCUCCAGGAUCUUGACUUUGGUCUGUUCUAGACUUUUUCUUUCUUCUUCCAUCUCAUUCUGUUUCAUGAAAUCUUGUUCCUUCUGUUGCCUGGCUUGAGUAUCAAAUUCACCAGCUCUCUGUUGUAACUCUGUCCAUUUAUGCUUUAUUUCUUCUCUUUCUUGUUCUAGAAGGUCUCUGCUGUUCUUCAUCUCUUGUUUUUGUUUAUCCAGAUCUUCUUUCUGUCUCUUUGUUUCUUCAGUGACACUCUCUAUGUCUUCCUUUUGCUUUUGUAGACAAGCUUCCAUUUCCUUCAGUGUUUCUCUCUCCUUCUUUAUUCCCUCCUCCAUGUAUUUGUUUUGUUCAGUUUGUUUUUGCAGCUCUGUCUUACUUUGAGCUAGAAUUAAUUUUUCAUCAGUGAUCUUUUGUCUUUCGAGGUCAAGUUCUUCUUUCUGGAGUUUCAUAUAAUUUCUCUGCUCUUCUACUUUAUCCAUUAAUUUCUGAACUAUUUCUUUGUUCUUUCCAAUUUCAUCCUUUUCUAGAUCAAUAUCUUGUAUUUUCUGGACAAGUGCUGAUCUCUCUAGUUUGAUUGCUUCUCUCAUAUCUUCCAUUUGCUUUCUUUCUGUCAUGAUGUCAGACCUUAUCUUUUGGAGGUCUUUUCUUUCCUGUUCAAACAUCUUCUUAUCAUUGUCCAUUUCAGUUUUCUCUCGUUCCAGUUCCCUUUUUAUCUGAUCAAGUUGUUCUCUCUCUAUCUUUGCUUUUACUCUCAUUUCUUCUUCUUUCAAUUUUUCUUUCAUAAUAUGUUCUUGCAGUGUGUUCAACUCUUGAAAUUGUUGGCUUAUGUCAUGUUGUUCCUGCUCAGCUUUAGUCUUCAGCUCCAGGAUCUUGACUUUGGUCUGUUCUAGACCUUUUCUUUCUUCUUCCAUCUCAUUCUGUUUCAUGAAAUCUUGUUCCUUCUGUUGCCUGGCUUGAGUAUCAAAUUCAUCAAGUUUCUGCUGUAACUGUGUCCAUUUAUUGUUCAGUUCUUCUCUCUCCUGCUCUAGAAGAUCUCUGUAUUUACUCAACUCUUGUUUUUGUUCAUUUAUGUUUGUGCUAAUCUUUUCCAGAUCCUCUUUCUGUCUCUUUGUUUCUUCAGUGACACUCUCAAUGUCUUCCUUUUGCUUUUGUAGACAAGCUUCCAUUUCCUUCAGUGUUUCUCUCUCCUUCUUUAUUCCCUCCUCCAUGUAUUUGUUUUGUUCAGUUUGUUUUUGCAGCUCUGUCUUACUUUGAGCUAGAAUUAAUUUUUCAUCAGUGAUCUUUUGUCUUUCAAGGUCAAGUUCUUCUUUCUGGAGUUUUAUAUAAUUUCUCUGCUCUUCUACUUUAUCCAUUAAUUUCUGAACUAUUUCUUUGUUCUUUUCAGUUUCAUCCUUUUCAAGAUCAAUCUCUUGCAUUUUCUGGUCAAGUGCUGAUCUUUCUAGUUUGAUAGUCUCUUUCAAGUGUUUUUCCAUUUGUUCUCUUUCUGUCAUUGUUUCAGACCGCAUCUUCUCCAGGUCUUCUCUUUCCUUUUUAAUCAUCUUCCUGUCGUUGUCCAUUUCAGUUUUCUCUUGUUCCAAUUCCCUCUUUAUCUGGUCAAGUUCUUCUCUUUCCAUCUUUGCUUUUACUCUCAUUUCUUCUUCUUUCUCCUUUUCUUUCAUUAUAUGUUCUUGCAGUGUGUUCAACUCUUGUAUUUUUAGGCUUAUGUCUUGUUGUUCCUGCUCAGCUUUAGUCUUCAACUCCAGGAUCUUGACUUUGGUCAGUUUUAGACUUUUUCUUUCUUCUUCCAUCUCCUCCUGUUUUAUUAAAUCAUUUUCCUUCUGUUGUCUAACUUGAGUUUCAAAUUCAUCAAUUCUCUGCUGUAACUGUAUCCAUUUAUUGUGUAUUUCAUCUUUCUCUUGCUCUAGAACCUCUCUGUAUUUUCUCAGCUCUUGUUUUUGUUCAUUUAUAUUUGUGCUCAUCAUUUCCAGAUUUUCUUUUCGUCUAGUCGUUUCUUCAGUGACACUCUCAAGUUCUUCCUUUUCCUUUUGUAAAAGAGCUUCCAUUUCUUUCAGCGUUUCUCUCUCUUUCUUUAUUACCUCUUCCAUGCAUCUGAUUUCUUCACUCUCUUUUUGCAGUUUAGUCUUUAUUUGAGCCUGAAGAUCUUUUUCAUCAUUGAUCUUUUGUCUCUCAAGUUCAUGUUUUUCUUCAUGGAGUUUAUUAUAAUUUCUCUGUUCUUCUACCUCAUCUAGUAUCUUCUGUACAAUUUCUUUGCUCUUCUCAAUGUCACAUUUUUCUAGAUCAGUCUGUUUUAUUUUGUUGUCAAGGUUUGAUCUCUCUUCUUCUAUUUGCUUUCUUUGUAACAUUAUUUCAGACCUCAUUUUCUCCAGGUCAUUUCUUCCCUGUUCAAUAAUAUUUCUGUCAUCAUAUAUUUUCUUCUGCUCAUGAUUUAUUUCAGUUUUCUGUCUUUCCAGAUCACUCUUCAUCUGAUCAAGUUCCUCUCUCUCCAUCUUUAGUUUUACUCCCAUUUGUUGUCUAUAUUCUUCAGAUUCAUUCCUCAUAUUCUCCAGAUCUCUUCUCUCCUCAUUCACAGCUCUUAUACUCUUCUCCAGGCUUUGCUGCUGUUGAUUAAUUUCAGCCUUUUCAGUCUGUAACUCAUAUUUGAUUUCUUCCAUUCCGUCUCUUUGUUUUUCUAAUGUCUUCCGGAGAACAUCCAGCUCAUUCCACUUCUUCAUAAUGUCCUCUUUUUCUUUCUCUAUUUCAUUUCUCUGUCUCAAGAUUUCACCAGCCUUUUCCUCAAGAAGCUUUUUCUCAUCAUCCAUUGAUCUUUUACUCAUCUCUUCUUUUUCUUUUUGUUCUGUCAUGUUCAUCUCCAGGUCAUCAGCUCGUCUUUGCAAUUCUUCUUUUUCCUUUUCAAUGUUAUUUCUCUCUUUUUCCAGAUGGUCUUUCUCAGUCUUAAUCAGUUGAUUUUGCUCUUCUAUGUCAUCAAUAGUCUUUUCUAGUUCACUUUUCUUCCUCUUAUUUUCUUCCAUGGUAUUGGCACAUUGAUCCAUCAUUUGUUUAAGGUGGGACUCCCUUAUCUCCAUAUUUUCUUGCUCUCUUUUGAUCUCUUCUAAGACGUUUUUCAGAUUUUCAGCAUCAUUCUGCAUCUCAGAUUUUGUCUGGUCAACCAGUUUUCUUUCCUUUUGGAGUUUUUCUGCUUCAGUUUGGAUCACUUCUUGUUGUUCCACCAGCUUGGCUUUCGUGAUUUCCAGAUCUUUCGUUAACUUGUUAAUCAUGUUCCUGUUUUCACCAAUGUCUUCUUUUUCUCUUUGUAUUUCAUCUCUCAGUUGUGAAAGUUCUUCUUCCUGCUUUGCAAUAGUCUUCAUGUCCUCUUGCAUUCUUUGUCUCUGAGCUUCUAGUUCAGUCCUCAACUUAUCCAUUUCCCUUCUUUCUUCCGCUAUCUCUCUUACACUUUGAUCCAGUCUUUGCUGCUGCUCAGUAAUAUAUUUCUCUCUCUGCUCCAGCUCAGUCUUCUGAAUUAUCACUCUUUGUCUCAUUGAUUCUAUUUCAUCAUUUACCAUAUUUAUAUCAGCUUUCUCUUUUUCAGUUUGUUCUCUCUCAGUAAGAAGCUCUAUCUUAAUUUUUUCCAGUUUUUCUCUUUCUUUCUCUAGCUCUUCUAACUGGACUUGAACCUGAUCUUUCUGUUGUGUAGUCCAGAUCUGCAGAUCAUCUUUUUUCCGCUUCAUUUCUAUAUUUUCAUUGUCUAUUUCAUGCCGUAUCUUCUUAAGCAACUCAAAGUCCUUAUUGAUUUCUUGUUUUUGCAGUUCUAUAUCAACCUGCAUCUCUUCAAGGGCAUGUUGUCUCGUAUUGGUUUCCUCAUGAACUUUAUCUAAAUGUUCCUGUUCAGUGUGAAGCUGAGCAGCAAUUCCAUCUAAUUCUAUAUUUCUCUUCUCUACUUCCCUUUCCUUCCUCUGUAUGUUUAGCUCUUUUUCAUCAAGAGCAUUCUGCUUGUCUUGCAUGAGUUGCUUUUGUAGUUUAAUUGACUGAAUCUGAUGGUGUAUUUCAGCUUGCAUUUGUUCAACCUUGUCUCUUUCUUUGUUGGUCAUGUAUUUUGUGUUUUCCAUUUCUUCUUUGGCCUUCUGAAGUAUUUGCUUCUCUUCAUUCAUUUUUAUGAUGUUAAGCUGCAAUAUCUGUUUCUGCUGUUCAGUUUCAAAUCUCUGUUUUUCCAGAUCUUCUCUCUCUUUUUUGUUUUCCUCACUGGUUUGAUCAUUCUGUCGCUGCUGGUUGAGUACCUCGACUUGCCGUUCCUCAAUGCUUGAUUUUUCCAUAAUAAGUUUGUUCUUCAAAAUUUCAUUUUCAUUUUGCUUGUUCUUUAUCUCUGCUCUUAAAGCUUCUAGUUUGUUUCUUAACGUCAUCAAGUUAUCCCUCUCUUCCUCUGUUUCUUGUUUUUCACGAAGAAGUUCUUCCUUCAUCUCCUCAAGGGCCAGUCUGUCCUUUUGUAUCUGCUCAAUCUGGCCCAUCAUUUGUUUUUCCAAGUCUUUCUUUUCUUUGUCAAUAUCUGUCUUUUCUUUGUCAAUUUCUGUCUUUUCCUUUUCAAGCAUCACUUUUGUUUUCUCAAUUUCUUGCUUUUGUCUCUCCAUCUCCUUUAUCAUCUUAUCAAGAUCCCUCAUUUUCAUUUCAGUCUCUUCAGACAAACAUUUAAUUUCUUCUCUGUCUUUAUCUAGUUGAACUUUAAUUUCUCUUUCUUUCUCCUUUAGGUUGGUGUCUAUUAUUAUCAUUUUAUCUGUUUGUAUCUUUAUCUCAGCUUUUGUCUUUUCAAGAUUAAAUUUAUCAUCUUGAAGUCGUUGAUUAUCCUUUUCGAUUUCUACUUUUGUUCUCUCCAGGUCAACCCUCAUUUGCAAUAAUUCUUCCAUUUCUUUAUCAUUAUUUUCUUUCUUACUUUUAAUGUCAUCUCUAAUUAUUUGCAACUCACUGUGAAGUUUGUUAGUUUCUUCCCUCUGUCUCUCUAAUUGUCUGAUUUCUUCCUCCACUCUUUGCUUUUCACCCUCAAUUUCCAGCCAGCAUUUCUCUUGAUCCUUUCUUUCCUUCUUGAUAACAUUUUGGAUCUCUUUGGAUUCUGCUCUUAUUUGUUCUAGUGCAUUCUUCUCAUCUUGUACAUUCAGUUUCUCAUGUCUUAGAUUUUGUAAUUGCUUCUCCAGAUCAUUUUUCAUGCUUUCAAGUUCAGCCUUCUCUUGAUCCAUCAACUUUUUGCUGAUUUCAAGCUGCUCUUUUUCUUUCUGUAUUUCUUCAGUCAGCUUUCGGUAUUCAUUGCAUUCUCUUGUAAUUGUUUCAUCCAUUUCCAUUAAUCGCUGUCUCUCCUCUUGAAUUUCGGCCUCCUUUCUUUCCAAAUUACUUUGAAUCUCCUUCUUGAUUUUAUACAUUUCAUCUUGAAUCUGUUUUAGCUGCUGCUGCUCUUCCAUGAAAGUUUUUACUUUGUUUUCAAGCUCACUUUCCUUUCUUUGCAGUUCUUCUCGAAGUGUAUCCAGUUUCUGUUUUUCUGAAUGUACAGUUUUCUUCUCUUUGUCAACAUCAUCUCUUUCCUUCAGAAUAUCCACCUCCAUUUGCUCUAGAGCCUCUUUGUGAUUUUGAAUCUCUUGUUUCGCCAUCUCAUCUUGUUCUUUCUGCUGUAAGGCUUUUCUUUCCAGGUCCUCUGUUUCUCUCACUAACACUUCCCUCUUAAGCUGCAGAUAUGUCAUUUCCCUUUCAUAAACAUCUCUGUCGUUUUUCAGUUGUAUCUUAUCAUCUUGAAGUUUUGCACUCAUUAUACUGAGAUCUUUCUUCUUGGUCUCUAUUUCGGUGAUGAUAUUCUCUAUAUCUUCUCUUUGUGUUUGAAGUUUUAAACUGAGGUCUGUUAAUCUGUCCCUCUCGUUGUUUGCUUCCUGAAUGAGUCUGUCAGUGAUCUCUGACUUCUUCUGAAGCUCAGCAUUCUCUUGUUCAAUCAAAUGUCUCUCUGUGCUGACCAUCUGCUUCAUUUCUUCCACUUGCUCUUUUUCUUUGUUUAGUUCACUCUUCAUCUCCUGUAGUUUCUCCUCCAUUUUUGUAGCAUCAUGGAGUUUUUCAUCAAGUUUAGCCCUCUCGUUUUCUAGUUCAUUCCUCGUCUUUUCUAGAUUUUUCAGUUCCACAUCGUAAGCCUUCAUGGCAGCACUCACUUCAUGCCUUUGUUGAUUGAUUUCAGCUUGUUCAUCUUUGAACCAAUCCUUCUCCAUGAUCAAAGCAUGUUUUGAAGAUUCAACAUCAACUCUCUGUCUGUGUAGUUCACUUCUAGAGAGUUCCAGUUCUUGCUUCUCUUGCCUUAAAUUGUCCAUUUCUUUUUCUAUAUCUUCUUGCUUCCUCAGUAUUUCCAUGUUGAUCUUUUCAAGUGUAUCUUUCUUUUUCUCCAUUUCUUCAACAAUCCAACUUUUCUCUUCCAACUCAUGUUUCUGCUUCUCCAGUAUCCGCUCUCCCCUCUUUACUUCAGAAGUAAUGCCUUCCAGUUCAGCCUUUUUCUUUUCAUGCAGGGUUUUCAUGUCUUCCAUGGUUUGCCAUUGGUUUUGUAUGUCUCUGUUGAGCUGUUCCAGAUCACGCUUGUUUCUCAAGAGUUCCUUAGUGACCAUUUGCAGUUCUUCCUUGUUCUUUCUUGUAUCCUUAAACUCUUCCAUUAUUUCUUUAGCUAUUUCUACCUUAACCAGCUCUCUUUUGGUCUCCACAUCCUCCUUUUCUCUGUUUAUCUCAUCCUUCAACUGCUCCAGUUCUUCUUUUUCUUUCUGCAGCAUUUCUCUCAUGUUCUCUUCCACCUGUUGCUUUUCUGCAAGUUCUGCUCUCAUCUUCUCCAAUUCAUUCUUAUCUCUUCUGGUGGUUUCUAUCUCUUUUCUAAGGCUUCCAAGAUUUUCCCGUAUUUGUCCAAUAUCUUGAAUGAGCCUCUGGAUCUCAGACUUGAAGUUUUCCUUUUCAUCUCUCACCAACUUACUUUCCUCCAUCCUGCUCUCCAUGUCAACUUUAAGAUUUCUCACCAUUUCCCUGAUUUUUACAACCUCUAAAAUUAGUCUUUGGAUGUCAGCAUUGGUGCUUUCCUCAUCUUCUAGAUUCACAGUUUUCUCCACCAAUAGCUCAAAAUCCUCUCUUGCACAUUGAACAUCAUUUCUGAGUAUUUCCAGCUCCUGCCGCUCUCUGUUGAUCUCCUCUCUUUCCUUUGCUAUCUCAGUCUUCAUUUUCUCCACCUCAUCCCUCUUUCUUAUCACUUGUUUCAUCUUCUGGUCCAGAUCUUUCUUUUCUAGGAAUAUUUCAGACCUUAAGACUUCCAGUUCUCCCUUCUCAUGCAUCAUUUUCUGAAUCCUUGUUUCUAGGACUUCUCUCUGGCUCUGUAUAUCCAUCAGCUCCACCUCUCUAGUGUCCUUUUCAUGUUGUAAUAUCUCAGACCUCAUGUUUUCUAGCUCAUCCAUCUGAUGUUUUAAGCCUGCUUUAGUUUUCUGAAGUUCUACCUGCUGUUUAUCCAGCUCAGCCUUCAACUCUGUUAGUUUGUCUAUUUGUCUGUUAAUUUCAUCUGUCUGACUCUCACUCUCUUCUUGCUGGUCAUCCAUGCUUAAUGAUUCCAUUUUCUUCCUUAAUUCCUCUGAAUCUCUCCUCAUUUCUUUCUCUUUUCUGGAAUGUUUAACUGUUUGUACUGUGUUUUCUCUAGUUGUUUCUUCUAGAAGGUUUUUGAGAAUUUCAUAUUGCUGCUUCAUGUCAACGAUUUCUUUGUUCAGAAGUUCAUUUUCGUCAUGAAGUUUUUGUUUGUCCAAUGCCAUUUCUUGUUUUUGUCUCUCCAAAUCAGCUCUGUUUUGCUCAAGAUCACUUCGCUCUUUGCUCAACAAGUCUUUGGUACUCUCAAUUUGCUGCUUCUCUUUUUGUAUCUCCUUGUUCUGUUGCUCAUAGGUUUCCUUCAUGCUAUGUUUCAUGGCUUCGACUUCCAGCCUCAUGUUCUCCAGUUCAAAUCGUUCAUUUCUAGCAGCCUUGACUUCAUCUUUCAUUCUUCUGAGAACCUCUCUGACAUGUUCAAUUUCCUGGAUCAGCCUCUGCAUGUAAGCACUCAUUUCUUGCCUUUCCUCUGAAUCCGCUUGAACAUUAACAUCUCUCUGCAUGCUUCUUUCCAGGUCAUGUUUUGUUCUCCAGGCCAUUUCCCUAGUCUUUUCAGCCUCUUGAAUAAGCCUCAGUAUCUUGGUGUUUAUUUGUUCUUUCUCUUCCAGAUCUCCACCUCUUUCUUCCGUAUGAGAUAGUAGUUCCUCUCCUGCUCGUUGUUUCUCAGCUUUCAUUCGCUCCAUGUCCUCACGCUCUAUACUUAACAUGACUCUGUCCAUUUCCAGUUUCUCAUUUGCACUUUCAAUAUCAGCUCUCAUUUUCUCCAGCUCAUCUCUCUUUCUCGCUGCCUGUCUCAUCUUGUGAUCAAGAUCUUUCCUCAUGCUAUCAGUUUCAUCCUGAAGAAGCUUCAAUUCUUUCAUCUCAUGUUUAGUCUUUUGCAUCUUGUCCUCUAAUUCAUCUUUCUGUUUGAGUAUUUCAGCUCUCAUACCAAUGAGUUCCUCUACUUGUGAUUGUCUUUUAGUCUCAAACUCUUCUUUUUGGAUUAAAAUAUUUGAUUUGAUCUCCUCAUAUUUCUCCAUUUCUUUUGUAGCCUCUCUCAACAUUUCAUCAUUUGCUUUUCUUUCUUUUGCUAACUUAGCUUUCAUUUGCUCUAGUUGAAUUCUUUCAUCUUGAAUAUCCUGUUUUUGAACUUUUAUCUCCUCUAAUUCUUUAUGUAGAUUUGAUUUAUUUUGUUCCAUAUCAUCUAUGUCUCGUUUCAGUUGCGUUCUGCUUUUCUCAGUCAAUUCCUUUUCAUCCAAAAGCUCUUUCCUCAGCUGUUCCACAUUUUCAAUGUCUUUCUUUAGUGUCUCCAUCAGCUGACGCUGCUCUAACAGUUCACCUCUUUCUCUCUCCAGGUCAUGUUUUUGCUUUAAGAUCUCCACACUUAUCUGAUCAAGACUAUCUCGCUUUUUCUGCAGGUCUGCACGUUUGAUGUCACUCUCCUCGGAUUGUCUUUUGAAAUCUUCCUUGGUUUUUUCCAGAUCCAUCUUUUCCUUUGUAACAAUUGCUUUGUCUACAGCAAUGGCUUGUUUUUGUCUUUGUAUCUCAGCUUGUAUUUCAUCCAGGGUGUCAUUUUUCAUUUUGAUCUCCUUAACAAAUUGUUGUCUCUCUUUUUCUAACUCUUCUGCAGUCCUCUGACCUUCUUUCUGAACUUCUAGCUUUAACUUCUUAAUAUCCUCUCUCUUCUUUUCCAGCUCAUCUUGUUCAUUUUUAAAAGCUUGUUUCAUAUUUUGGAGGUUUUCCAAGUCUCUAGCCAACUCGGCUCUCUUUUGUUCCAGAUUCUCAAAAUCAUCCUUUUCUUUUAUUAUGUUGCUUUUCAUGUCAUCCAUUUCUUUUUGUUUAUUUUGAAGUUCUGUUCUCAUUUGUUCUAGUUCACUCUCUUUGUGUUGUAAUUGUUCCUUCUCAUCUUCAAUUUGAGCUAUUUGUCUCAAGUUAUCUGUACUCAUUUGCUUCAGAAUGUCUUUAUCUGUCUGUAAGUCAGUUCUUUGUCUGUCUAGUUCUUCCAUGGCUUGGUUUAUCUCUGCCUUGGUUUUCUCCAGCUCAGAUCUUUCUUCUUGAAGCAAGUCUUUGGCAGACUGAAUAUCCUUUCUUUGUUUCUCUGUCUCAUCCAUGAGCUCUUCCGCCUGUUGGUAGUCCGCUGGAAUACCACUGACGUCUAAUUGCUUUUUAAAUUUGGCUGCCAUCUCUUCUGCCCUCCAUCUUUCAUUCUUUGUCUUCUCAGAUAGUUUCUCCAAGUCUUCAGCUUGUCUUUGAAGGUCGCUUUUCAUCCUCUCUAGUUCCUCCUUCUCAUUUUCAAAGGUGUGUUUCUCAACUUUUAGAUUCUUUAAUUCUUUCUCCAUAUCCAUUUUUUGCCUCUCCAUAAGAUCCAAAUUUUUGGUCAACACCUCUCUGUCUUUUUCAACCUGAUCCUUUUCCUCCAGUAAUUUUAGUCUCAGUUGUUCACAGGUCUCCUUUUCUUCCUCUAGACUGACCAUCUCUCUCUCUACAUUUCUCUUCUGUGCCAUCAUUUCCACUCUGUCUCUUUCUACGUUGGUCAUUUCUGUCUUUGUGAAUUCCAUUAGAUCAUCAACCUCUCGCUGUAAUAGAUCAACGUCAGUUUGUCUCUGGUCCAGUUGACUCAUUUCCAUCAUAAUUGUGUUUUUCAGUUCAUCCAUUUCAUCCUGUUGUUGUAAAAUGGUUUCCUGCAGCUUUGCAAGUUCACUUUCUCUGCGAGAAAGGCUUUCAUUCGCUUUUUGAAUAGUAUCCACUUGUUUCGAGAUGUUCGCCCUCAUUUCUUCAAGAGCGUCUCUCUCUGUCCGCAUCUCUUUUAUUGACAUCUCAUUCCUUUCUUGCUGUUCUGCAAGAAGUUUGUUGGCUUUAGCAAUUUCUGUUUUGAUUUUCUCUAAAUCAGUCUUCUCCAUUUCAAACUCAGUUGCUUGCUUUUGUUGAUUACAUUUUUGGAUAUUAAUCUCCUCAUUAAGGCUUUCAAGAUUUCUUCUCUCUUCCUGAAGUUGAGCUGACAUUUCUUCUAGCUUCUGUCUUUCAUUGUGCAUGUCCUGCUUUUCCUUUUCAAUGUGUUCAGCUUCCCUUUUCAGUUCAGCUCUCAUCUGUUCCAGUUUGUCCUUUUCAUCUUGAAUAAACGUCUUCUCUAACAUCAUCUCCUGUUUAUGAGGUAAAUCCUCAGCCUCAGGUAAGUCUGACUUUUGGCUCUCAACAUCUGUUUCUAAUGCAUCUUUUAAGUCCAUUUCCAGCAUCUGCUCCAUCAAGACACAUUUCCCAUCUGAAUCUGACAUUUCUUUGUCUGUUAAGGAUUUGACUGCAUCCACGUCACUCUUUUGAAGAAACAUUUUAGCCUCUGACUUCUCAAGUAGACUCUCUUCUGUUAUGCCAAAUCUCAGGUGAUCAAUAUUUUCUUGUUUUCUUUUGAUGUCUGCCCGCAUUCUUUCAAGAUCUUCCUUUUCUAUUUGCAACUCUUGCUUUUCAUCUUCAAGUGCCAUUUUUUCUCUUCUUAUAUUCCCAAUCAUCUGUUCAAGCAUGUUUCUCUCUUCAUGCAUCUCUGCCAGUGUGAUCUCAAUGUUUGUUUUUUGUUCAGAAAGCUGUUUUUCAAGCUCUUCCUUGGUUUGAGACAUCUCAGCUUUGGUUUUCUCUAGGUCAGACCGUUCCCUUCUAAUCAAGUCUUUGCCUCUCACCAUUGCUUCUUGUUCCCUUUGUAUUUCAGUAUAGCUUUCAUCCAGAAUACCUCCCUUCUUUUUAAUUUCCUCCAUGAGAUCACUGAUUUCUUUCCUCUCUUUCUGGAGUUGAGCUGUCAUUUCCUCCAGUUUUUGUCUUUCAUCUUGUGUUUUUAAUUUGAUCUUCUCGAACUCUUGUGUCUCUCUUUGCAGGUCAGUUUUGAUCUUUUUUAUUACUUCCUUCUCAUUCUCCAAAGCUUCUCUCUCAUGUUUCAGACUCUCUGAGUCUCUGUCUACAUUAACUAGUUUUUGUUGCAGAUCUUCCAUGUCUCUCUUCAGCAGUUGUUUUUCAUUUUUCAGUAUUUCCUGAUUAGUCAAUACCUCCUUCAUCUGAAGCUCAACAUCUUCAGACUUCUUUCUCAGCUCAGUCAUCAUGUCCUGUUUUUCUCUGAUCAUUGCAGCUUUUUGAGUUUCAGCAAUGCUCUUUUCAUUCUUUGCGAUCUCCACAAUGUCAUGCAGCUCCUUCUGUUGUAUUUCUAUUUCAGUCUCUCUGAGAUCAAGCUGCUGCUUCUCAGUCAUGAUGAUUUCUUUGAGGUUUUUCAAUUCACAUUGUUGUUUUUGAUUCUCUGCUUGUAGUUGCUCUAGUUCAUCUUGUCUGAUUUUAUUUUGUCUUUCUCAUUUUCAAGAUCAUCAAUUUGUUUGGAGAUGUUCAGUCUCAUUUCCUUAAGGUUGUUUUUCUCUCUUUGUAGAUCUGCCAUUGAAGACUCACUUGCAGCUUUCAUUUCAUCCAGAAUCUCAUGUUUUCUCUUUGUAUCUUCAGCAAGAUGAACAAUAUUUUCUUUCUCUUUCUCAAGUUCUUCAGCCAUCUUUUCCAAACUCUGUCUCUCAUUUUGUGUUUCUUCUUUGAGCUUUCUGAUAUCAUCAGCUUCUCUUUGCAGAUCAAUCUUCAUCUGUUCUAACUUGUUCUUCUCAUCUUCAGUCACUUGUUUUUGAAGUGUCAUGAUCUUUAGGUCUUCAGUCAGAUCUUUUCUACUUUGGUCUACAUCAUCUCUUUCUUUCUUCAGUUGCUGUUUCUGUUUUUCAAUCUCUUUGUUUUAUCUUUAUCUAGUUGGCUUCUCUCAUUUCUCAUUUUUUCCAUAAUGUCACUCACUUCUGUCUGUUGUUUGUCUAGCUCAGACUGUCUCAGAUCAAGCUGACUUCUGUCUUUUAUUAUAAUAUUUCUGUCAUUGUCUAGUUCCUGUUUCUGAUUCUGAAUUUCAGUUUUCAGUUGUUCGAGUUCAUGUUGUUUUUGUCUUAUUUGUUCCUCUUGAUUUUUAAUUUCAUGUAUUUGUCUUGUGAUGGUCUCAUUCAUCUCCUUUAGGUUGUCUCUCUCUUUCUGUAUCUCUGCCUGUAUGAUUUCUUUCUCUUCUGCUUGCUCAGCAAAUAGUUUUUCAAGAUCUUCUUUGAUUUUAGCAAUUUCAUGUUUGGUUUUCUCCAAUUCAUGUUUUUCCUUUUCAAUCAUGUCUCUAUCAGAUUGAAUGGCUUUAGUUUUCACUUCAAUUUCUGUGUUCAUUUCAUCCAAGACCAUGUCUCUUCUUUUGGUCUUCUCAAAGAGGCUUUCAGUUUCUUCUCUCUCUUUCUGGAGUUGAGCUGUCAUUUCCUCCAGUUUUUGUCUUUCGUCUUGUGUUUGUAGUUUGAUCUUCUCGAACUCUUGUGUCUCUCUUUGCAGGUCAGUUUUGAUCUUUUUUAUUACUUCCUUCUCAUUCUCCAAAGCUUCUCUCUCAUGUUUCAGACUCUCUGAGUCUCUGUCUACAUUAACUAGUUUUUGUUGCAGAUCUUCCAUGUCCCUCUUCAGCAGUUGUUUGUCGUUUUUCAAUAUUUCCUGUUCAGUCAAUAGCUCCUUCAUCUGAAGCUCAACAUCUUCAGACUUCUUUCUCAGCUCAGUCAUCAUGUCCUGUUUUUCCCGGAUCACUGCAACUCUUUCACUUUCAAUGUUGUUCUUUUCCUUUUUCAUUUCAUUUUGUUGUUUAUGAAUCUCUGCUUGUAGUUGCUCUAGUUCAUCUUGUCUCAGUCUUAUUUUCUGUUUGUCAUUUUCAAGAUCAUCAAUUUGUUUUGGAGAUGUUCAAUCUCAUUUGCUCAAGGUUGUUUUUCUCUCUUUGUAGAUCUGCCAUUGAAGACUCACUUGCAGCUUUCAUUUCAUCCAGAAUCUCAUGUUUUCUCUUUGUAUCUUCAGCAAGAUGAACAAUAUCUUCUUUCUCUUUCUUAAGUUCUUCAGCCAUCUUUUCUAAACUCUGUCUCUCAUUUUGUGUUUCUUCUUUGAGCUUUCUGAUAUCAUCAGCUUCUCUUUGCAGCUCAGUCUUCAUCUGUUCUAACUUGUUCUUCUCAUCUUCAGUCACUUGUUUCUGAAGUGUCAUCAUCUUUAUGUCUUCAGUCAGAUCUUUUCUACUUUGGUCUACAUCAUCUCUUUCUUUCCUCAGUUGCUGUUUCUGUUCUUCCAUCUUUUGUUUUUCUUCAUCUAGUUGGCUUCUCUCAUUUCUCAUUUUUUCCAUAAUGUCACUCACUUCUGUCUGUUGUUUGUCUAGCUCAGACUGUCUCAGAUCAAGCUGACUUCUGUCUUUUAUUAUAAGGUUUCUGUCAUUGUAUAGUUCCUGUUUCUGAUUCUGAAUUUCAGUUUUCAGUUGUUCGAGUUCAUGUUGUUUUUGUCUCAUUUGUUCCUCUUGAUUUUUCAUAUCAUGUGUUUGUCUUGUGAUGGUCUCCUUCUUCUCCUCUAGGUUGUCUCUCUCUUUCUGUAUCUCUGCUAGUAUGAUUCCUUGCUGUUCUCUUUCUUUUUCUAGAUCCUCCUUUGCUUUAGCAAGUUCAUGUUUCAUUUUCUCGAGAUCAUGCAUUUCCUUCUCAAUCAUGUCUCUAUCAGAUUUGAAUUUCUUUCAUUUUAACUUGAAUUUCUUUGUUCUUUCCUUUGGUCUCCUCAAUAAGAUCAUUGAUUUCUUUUCCUCUCUUUCUGGAGUUGAGCUGUCAUUUCCUCCAGUUUUUGUCUUUCAUUUGUGUUUGUAGUUUGAUCUUCUCGAACUCUUGUGUCUCUCUUUGCAGGUCAGUUUUGAUCUUUUUUAUUACUUCCUUUUCAUUCUCCAAAGCUUCUCUCUCAUGUUUCAGACUCUCUGAGUCUCUGUCUACAUUAACUAGUUUUUGUUGCAGAUCUUCAUGUUUCUCUUCAGCAGUUGUGUAUCAUUUUUCAAUAUUUCCUUUUCAGUCAAUAUCUGCUUCAUCUGAAAGCUCAACAUCUUCAGACUUCUUUCUCAGCUCAGUCAUCAUGUCCUGUUUUUCUCUGAUCAUUGCAGCUUUUUGAGUUUCAGCAAUGCUCUUCUCAUUCUUUGCGAUCUCCACAAUGUCAUGCAGCUCCUUCUGUUGUUUUUCUAUUUCAGUCUCUCUGAGAUCAAGCUGCUGCUUCUCAGUCAUGAUGAUUUCUUUGAGGUUUUUCAUUUCACUUUGUUGUUUUUGAUUCUCUGCUUGUAGUUGCUCUAGUUCAUCUUGUGUGAGUCUAAUUUUCUCUUUCUCAUUUUCAAGAUCAUCAAUUUGUUUAGAGAUGUUCAAUCUCAUUUCCUCAAGGUUGUUUUUCUCUCUUUGUAGAUCUGCCAUUGAAGACUCACUUGCAGCUUUCAUUUCAUCCAGAAUCUCAUGUUUUCUCUUUGUAUCUUCAGCGAGAUGAACAAUAUCUUUCUUUCUCUUUCUCAAGUUCUUCAGCCAUCUUUUCUAAAUUCUGUCUCUCAUUUUGUGUUUCUUUUUUGAGCUUUCUGAUAUAUCAGCUUCUAUUUGCAGCUCAAUCUUCAUCUGUUCUAACUUGUUUUUCUCAUCUUCAGUCACUUGUUUCUGAAGUGCCAUCAUCUUUAGUUCUUCAGUCAGAUCCUUUCUUCGUUGGUCUUCAUCAUCUCUUUCUUUCUUCAGUUGCUGUUUCUGUUUUUCAAUCUCUUCUUUGUCUUUAUCUAGUUGGCUUCUCGCAUUUCUCAUUUUGUCCAUAAUGUGACUCACUUCUGUCUGUUGUUUGUCUAGCUCAGACUGUCUCAGAUCAAGCUGACUUCUGUCUUUUAUUAUAAUAUUUCUGUCAUUGUCUAGUUCCUGUUUCUGAUUCUGAAUUUCAGUUUUCAAUUGUUCGAGUUCAUGUUGUUUUUGUCUCAUUUGUUCCUCUUGAUUUUUCAAAUAACGUGUUUGUCUUGUGAUGGUCUCCUUCUUCUCCUCUAGGUUGUCUUUCUCUUUCUGAAUCUCUGCUAGUAUGAUUCCUUGCUUUUCUCUUUCUUUUUCAAGAUCCUCCUUUGCUUUAGCAAGUUUCCUUUUGAUUUUCUCAAGAUCGUGCAUUUCAUUCUCAAUCAUGUCUCUAUCAAAUUGAAUUUCUUUCAUUUUAACUUGAAUUUCUUUGUUCAUUUCAUCCAAGACCAUAUCUUUCACUUUUUUCUUCUCAGUAAGAUCAUUGAUUUCUUCUCUCACUUUCUGGAGUUGAGCUGUCAUUUCCUCCAGUUUUUGUCUUUCAUCUUGUGUUUGUAGUUUGAUCUUCUCGAACUCUUGUGUCUCUCUUUGCAGGUCAGUUUUGAUCUUUUUUAUUACUUCCUUCUCAUUCUCCAAAGCUUCUCUCUCAUGUUUCAGACUCUCUGAGUCUCUGUCUACAUUAAUUAUUUUUUGUUGCAGAUCUUCCUUGUCUCUCUUUAACAGUUGUCUAUCAUUUUCCAACAUUUCCCUUUCAGUCAAUAUCUGCUUCAUCUGAAGCUCAACAUCUUCAGACUUCUUUCUCAGCUCAGACAUCAGGUCCUGUUUUUCCCUGAUCUCUUUUUGCAGAUUUUCUAAUGUGGACUCAUGUAAUACUUUCAUUUCAUCAAGAAUCUCAUUCUUUCUCUUUGUAUCUUCAGCAAGAUGAACAAUAUCUUCUUUCUCCUUCUGAAGUUUUUCAGCCAUCUUUUCCAAACUCUGUCUCUCAUUUUGUGUUUCUUCUUUUAGCCUUCUCAUAUCUUCAGUUUGUCUUUGCAGCUCAAUCUUCAUCUGUUCUACGUCAUCCUUCUCAUUUCGAAUAGCUUUUUUAUGAUAUUGAAGCUCCUUUAUCUCUCUGUCUAGGGCUGCUCUUUUUUCAUUUAUGUCAUUAUUCAGUUCUGCCUUCAAGAGCUCCAGUUCAGUCUCCAUUUGGUGUUUCUGUGUUAGCAUUUCAGACUUCUCUUUUUCAAUAUAAGCCCUUUCUCCUGUUGUAAAUGCCAUGACUUCAUUUACCUUUCUCUGUUUUUGAUCUAUUUCAGUUUUCUUCUUUUCAAGUCUGUCUUUUUCCAUUGUGAGAGCUUUUCGUGAGGCUUCCAUUUCAUCUUGCUGCCUAUAAAUUAGAGCUUGGAGUUGUUCAAGUUCAGUCUGUCUCAUACUCAUUUGUUGUUUCUCAUUUGCAAUGUUGUCCUGUUGCUCUGAAAUACUAUCUCUCAGUAAAAGAAGCAUGUCUUUUUCUUUCUGUAUUUCUGCUAGUGUGAUCUUGUUCUUUUCUCUUUCUUCAACGAGCUGGGUUUCAAGAUCCUCCUUCGCUCUUGCUAUAUCUGUCAUCACCUUCUGCUCAUCUAUCUCUGUUUGCUCUUUCUGAAUUUCCAUUUUUAGACUUUGCAGCUCCGCUUGUUGGUAUCUUGUUUGUUCAAUGUCGUUUUCUAGAUCAUCUCUCUGUUGUGAUAUGUUCAUCCUUAACUGCUCAAGAAUGUGUUUCUCCUUCUGUAUCUCUGCCAGUGUUAGCUCAUUUUGUCUUUUAUGUGAUUCAAUUUGGUUCUCAAGAUCUUCUUUGGCUCUGGCUAUCUCUGCUUUAGUUUUCUCCAGGUCAGAUUUGUCCUUUUUAAGAGUGUCUCUAUCAGAUUCAAUUGUUUGUUUUUGUUUUCUUAGAUCUCCUUCCUCUGAUCUUAUUCUGGCAAAAGAAAUCUCUAUAUCUUCCUUCUCUUUUUGAAGGAUGAUCGCCAUUUCCUCAGCCUUCUGCCUGCCAUUUUCUAUGUCUUGCCUUAGUUUAGCAAUAAUUUCCUUUUCUUGUUGGAACUCAUUUUUCAUCUUAUCAAAUUCCUGCUUUUCUUUGCCAGUCAAUUGUUUCUGGUAGUUUAAGGUCUCAAACUCCUCAGCUAAGAUGGUUCUAUUUUCUUUUAUAUCCUCCAGAUCUUUGUUCAGUAUUUGCCUGCUGUUUUCAAUAGAUUCUUUUUCGUGGAGAACUUCUUGCUUCAUCAGCUCCACUGUUUCACUUUCCCUCUUCAGUUCUACUGCAAUGCCAUUCACUCUUUGUCUUUCUUCCAUUACAUUAGUCCUCUCUUUUUCAAGUCUGUCCAUCACACUCUCUAAUUCUCUCUUUUGCUUUUCCAUUUCAGCCUGUCUUUCAUUAAGCUGACUCUUUUCUUUCAUGAUAACAUCCUGAAUCUCUUCUAUUUCUUUCUGUUGUGCAUGAAGUUGUGAUGUUUGUAUAUUCAGGUCAUUUUCUUGGUGUCUCAAACUUUCCUUCACUAUUUUAAUACCAUGUUCCUCUUGUGAAAUGUUCAUCUUCAUUUGCUCAAGGGAAUUUCUCUGCUUCUCCAUCUCUAACCGAUCAAUAUCAUUCAUUUUUCUCUUUUCAGCAAGAUCGUCUUUUGCUCUCGCUAUGUCUCUUUUGCUUUUCUCCACUUCAAACUUCUGGUUUUCUAAUACAUCUUUUUCAGUCUCAAUGUCUUGCUUUUGUUUUUCUAGCUCAAGGCGCAUCCUCUCUAGAGCUUCUUUUCUGUAAUUUCCCUCAUGUUGAAUUUGAGCUGCCAUGUCUUUUAUACUCUGCUUUUCAGCUACCACCUCUUUCUUUAGUCUCUCAGUAUUGUCAGCCUCUUUCUGAAGGUCAGCUCUUAUCUGCUGUAUCUCUUUCUCAAACGAUUGCCUCUGAAACUGCAAGUUUUCAAAUUCUUUGUGCAGUUUGGCUUUAUUUUUCUCUAUGUCUUCCUCAUCCAUUUCUAGUGAUUUCAUCCGGCUUUCAAAUACUUCUUUUUGCUCAAUUAAAUAUCUCUUUUGGAGCUCCACAUUUUCAUAUGCCACCCUCAGUUCUUCUCUCAAAUUCUCCAUUUCCUGUCUCUCUUUCUCCAGAUCUGUCGCGUCUCUAUCUCUUGCAGUCUUAACGUAUUCUAUUUUUUCAUGUGCAACUGUCCAUUGUUGAUCUUGGUCAGCUUGCAUCUGCUCAACUUGCAUCUUUUCCAUUCUUAAACUGCUCUUUAACUCAUCUAUUUGUUUUUGUUUGUUUUCAACCUCUGCUUCUUUUUGUUUCAGUUCAUUUUCUCUCUGUCUUAAAUUUUCUUUAUCACUUUCAACGAUGCACCUUUGAUUUGAGAUGGUUUCACUCAUCUGGGUAAGAUUGUCUCUUUCUUUCUCUAUAUCUGCCAGUAUAAUAAUGUUCUGUUCUUUUUGCUGAGCAAAUUCAUCUUUGAGAUCUCUGAGCUUAGACUUUUCCUGUUCUAGCACAUCUCUCUCAGACUCAACAUAUCGCUUUUCUUUUUCAACCUCCAUGUGCAUCUCAUCCAGAGCUUUGGACCUCUUUUCAAUCUCUUCACCUAGACUAUCAGUGUAUUGUCUUUCUUUCUGAAUUUUGGCUUCUAUAUCUUUUACGUUUUGUAUGUCAUUCUGAACAGCUUGUCUUACAUUUUCAAUGACACCGGCUUCUUUUUGCAGAUCAGCUUUCAUGCCCUUCAAUAUCUCAAAUGCAUUUUCCUGCUUUUCUACAUCAGCUUUCAUUUUAUCCAGUUCCUCUAUCUGUCUUUUUGUCUCUUCUGAAAGGCUCACAAUGGCAUCUCUCUCUUUCUGAAGUUGCACAGCGGUGUUUUUAAGCUUCUGUCUUUCAGCUAGUGUAUCUUGUCUUAGCUUCUCAGUAUCUUCAGCUACUUGUUGCAGCACAGAUUCAGUCUGUUGCAACUUGCUUUUCUCUUCUGCAAUACUUUGUCUUUGUAAUUUUAUCUCCUCUGCCUGACUACCCAAAUUGAUUUUCUUCUGCUCCAGAUCUUCUAUAUCUCUCAGUAAAACUAUUCUGCAGUCCUCAAUAAGUCGCUUCUCAUUUAGUACCUCUAUUUUCACAAGCUCCACAGUUUCUAGUUCUCUGUUUAAUGUAUCUGUCAAGUUACUCUCCAUCUGCUGCUUCUGUUCCAUUAUAGCUGCCCUUUCUCUGUCAAGAUUGCCUUUUUCAUUUUGUGUGAACUGCCUGAUGGCUUCCGCCUGUUUUAGCUUUUCGGCUAUUUCAUCAUGGCUUUUCUGAAGUUGACUUUUUUGCAUUAAAACUAUAUUCUGAAUAUCCUGCACUUCUUUUUGUUGUCUGUUAAGAUCAGCCUGCAUUUGCUGCAGUUCAUUUUCUCUCUGCUUUAUUUCCUCCUUCUCAUUCUCAAAAUCAUCUUUUUGCUGUAAAAUGAGUACAUUUAUUUUCUCAAGUGUGUCUCUCUCCUUUUUGAUCUCCUUCAGUGUCCGCUCAUUCUCCUCUCUCAGGUUCUCUAGAUCGUUCUUUUCUCUCGCUAUUUCUGCUUGUAUCUGUUGCAUAUCACACCUUUUCUUUUCUAGUUCCUCCCUCUCUUGUUUAAGCUGCUCUGCCCAUUUCUUCAUGUUCUGUCUUUCUUUCUGCACAUCCUGUUUUAACCUUUCGAUAUCACUAGACUCUUUUUGCAGCUCAUAUUUCAUGUUCUGUAACAUUCCCUUUUCAUCCUCUAUCCUUUUUCUCUGAGCUUCUAUGUCUUCUAGUUCUUUAGCAAAAGUGUCUUUUAGGUCGGCCUCCAUGGUUUGCUUUUGUUUUUCUAUAUCCUGUCGAAUGUGAUUUAGAACAUCUCUGGCAUUUUCUAAUUCUGUUCUUAUCAUGUAUUCUUUUUCUCUGCUUUCUGUAAUCUCAGCCUGCAGGUCAUCCCAUCCUUUCUGUAUUUCUAGCUUUGUCCUUUCCACCUCAUCUUUUGUUCGUUCUAGCUCCUGUUUUCGCAGCUCUAAUUGUAACUCUAUGUCUGCUGUGUUUUUUGUAGCAGUUUGCAGUGCGGCUUCUUUGAGUGAUAAUUCAUCCUUGCUCAGUUUUAUUUCUGCCAGUUGUCUCUCAAUUGUACUUUUUUGUGCAAGUAAGUCUUCUUUAAAAUUCUCCAGAGCUUGUCGCUCUUUAUCCAGCUCCUCCAUAGUCAAGCUCAUCUGAUAUUUUCCUACAUCCUCCAUCACAUCAGUUUGGACUUGUACAUCAACUUGUUUAAUCUCCAUCAAUCUUGCCUUUUCUAAUUCACAUUUCUCUCUCUGUAGAUUUACGUCCAUACUCUCUAGUUCUUGUUUUCUUUGAUCUAGCUGCUUCUUCUCUUUCCAUAUUAUAUCUAAACCUCUCCGGUUUUCUUCUCUCUCUGAUUGCAGCAGUCUUUCCCAGUUUUGUAGACCCACUCGUUUCUUUUCCAUCUCAAUUUCCAUCUCUUGUAAUUUUGUCAUCCUCUCUUCAGCUUCAUUCUUUAUCGCUCGUACAUCCUCCUUUGUUUUCUCUAGUUCAUGUUUCUCUUUUAAAAUUAUUUCUUUAUAUUGUUCCAGUUCUUGUCUUUCUUUCUGUAUAUCACUCACAAAGUCUUCCACUUUAAUGGCAGCUGCUUCUUCUGUUUUUGCAUACUCCUGGCUCUCGGUUGGAAUGAUGGCUGGUUGAACCUGAAAUAAAUGGUUCUUGUUUGCAUUUGCAUCUCUGUCCCAAUAUUUUUUUUAGAUAUACUAUGUAGGCAGUAUACAGUUAUUCUGAACACAGUUCAUGAUCAACUUACUUUUCACAAUCUUGAGUAAAAAUUCAGUUUAAAUCCCUUUUAGCAUUUUAUACAACUUGAAAUGUUGACCCUAUUUACUUUCUUAAUACGUGUGUAUAAUUCAUUGUCAAGUCUUUGUCUAAUUCUUUUUCUCUUGUUUCACUCAAGAUUGUCAUGUUUAACUGUAAUAAGUUGCAUCCUUGCAAAAUAGGUUACGGAUGCUUCAUGUUGACUUUAAGAGUCCAUUUGCUGCCGUCAAUAUUGAUAAAGCAGAUAAAAUAAUGACACUGUUCAAUGCAAGUAAAUUAUGACUUACCUUUUCUUUGCCUGUCUUUUCUAGAGCAGUGAGUUCUUUCUGUCUCUUUAUCUCUUCUUUGGCCUGUGCUAUGUCCUCCAAAGCAUUUUUCACAUCUUCUCUCAUCUGCUCCAUCAUAUCAUUCUCUUUAAUGGUCUCCUCCAGCCUCUCCUCCAGUUCUUGUCUUUGUCGCUGCACCAUAUUUCUCACGAGUUCUAGUUCAUCUCGUUCUCUCAUAAUCCUUUCUUCUCUAUAUUCAAUCUCUCUUCUCCUUCGUUGAACUUCAUUCUUCAAUAGCCUCAUCUCAUCCCUGUCUCUCUUCAUCGUUUCCUUGUUGUAUUCUACCUCAGCCUUAAGACCUCGCAGCAUUUCCCGGAUGUGUUCAAUCUCCAAAAUGAGCCUGUGCAUCUCAGCAUUCAUCUCCUCUUGGACUGUUGUCUCCAUCUGACUUCCUGCCAUUCGACUUUCAAUCUGGAAUUUUGCUUUCCGCACCAUUUCUCUCGUCCCCUCAAUCUGCUGAAUAAGACUGAUUAUUGUGAGGUUCAUCUGUCCUUUCUCUUCUUCUAAAUCUCUCUCCUCCAUCCUAAGUUCAAACUCCUCUCUCGCUCUUUGGAUUUCAGCUUUAACUUGCUCCAUUUCAUAUUUCUGCCUCUCCGUCUCCACUCUUUUCUGUUCCAUCUCAUCUUUUGCCCUUUGUAUCUCCAUCCUCAGUCGUUCCAUCUCAUCCUUCUUCCUCAUGGUCAGUUUCAUCCUUUGGUCAAGUUCUUUCUUCUUCCCUUCCAUUUCUCUCUUCAUCAGCUCCAUUUCUCCAAUCUCUCGUUUGGUUUUCUGCAUCCUUUCCUCCAGCUCUUCUCUUUGUCUUUGUAUUUCCUCUUUGACAAGCUGCAUUUUGUCCAUCUCUGCUUUUGCUAGCUCCAUUUUCCUUUCAACAUCCUCUUUUUGUUUUAAGAUCUCAGUCCUCAUCAGUUCCAUCUGGUAUCUCUCACUUUUUGCUUCCAUCAUCUGGAUUUCAAUAUCUUCUUUCUGUUUUUGGAGGUCUGCUCUCAUCUUUUCAAGAUGAGUCAUUUCCAGCCUUGCCUUCUCCAUCUUUACGUCGAUGUCCUCCUUCUGUUUUGUUAACUCCAUCUUCAUGUCUUCAAUAUCACCCAUCUCCUUCUUCAUAGCUUCCAUCUUCCUCAUCAUCUCCUCCUUCUCCCUGUUCAUCCUUUCACAUUCCUCAGGCUCUCCCUUUUCAGCCUCAUCCCACAACCUCUCUAUCUCCGCUCUCACCCUGUUAAUCUCAUCCUUGACCUCUUCAUAUGUGUCUUUCCCUCUCAGCGUUUCCAAACGGAUCUUCUCCAGAUCUUCUCUCUCGUCCUCCAUGUCCUCUCUCAUCUUCCUCAAGGUGUCCUCUCGUCGUUUUGUCUCCUCUAACCUUUUAUUCACUUCCUCUCUUUGUUCCUGGAUCUCAAUCAUAAGGCGUUCAGCUUUCACUCUAUCUUGUUGCGCUAACUCUCUGCUUCUGUUCAUGAUCUCUGUGUCCAGAAAUAGCUGAGUCUUGAUCUUCUCAAGUUCUUCUCUUUGUCUCUGCACUUGAGCACUCUGUUCUACAUCAUAUCUCAUCAUUUCAUACCUUUGUUUUUCUAGAUCUUUCUUGUCGUUCUGGACCUGAACUCUAAUCUGUUUGAGUUCCUCUCUCUCCUUGUCCAUCUCAGCUAAACGCUUUUCCUGAUCUUCCUUGUCCUUCAACGCAGCUGUUUUCAGUUGCUCAACAAUCUCUUUCUCUUGCUGUGUAUCCUCCAGCAUUUUCUGCAGGUUUUCUUUUUCAGAAUACCUCAACUUUUCUAGCUCAUGUCUGGCUCUUUGUAUCUCUUCAUUUAUUUGUUCUAACUCCUCUGUUUUUUUGUGUAUUUCAUCUCUUUGCUCCAAUGCCUCUGUUAUGGUUUCAUACCGUCUCUUUUCUGACUCUUCCAUUUGCUUUUUUAAGAGCAUCUCAGCCUCUUUGACUCCAAGUUUGGCAUGGUUUGCCUCCUCCUUUUCUUGUUUUGCAACUCUAAUCCUGUUCUCUAUUUCUGCCUUUUGUUUUUGUAGCUCAUUUCUCAUGCUUUUGAUUUCAUCUGCUUCUUCUUUAGCCUUUUCGCUGCUUUUAGUAAUCUCUCCUCGCUCUUUCUCCAUCUGUUCUAUCAUUUUUGUCAACUCCUCUCUCUUUGCUUUAGCCUCAUCCAUCUGUUUGAUAGCGGCAAGUUUGUCGUCUUCUGCCUGAAGCUUUAUUUUUUCAAGACUGUCCUUCCACUGCAUGAGCUCCAUCCUGCUCUCCUCAAUGUUUUUCUGCGAUCUUUGGACCUCGUCCCUUAAUUUUUCCAGUCUUUCCAUCUCAUGCUGAGUUUUCGCUCUGAGUUCAACUUCCUCUUUCUCUGUUUCAUGCCACCUGUUCUCCAUUUCCUCCUUCACCCUGAGGAUUUCACUUCUGAGGAACUCACACUGUUCGGUCUCUCUUUUCACCAAUUCUCUCUUUCGUUCCAGCUCCUCCCGCUCUUCCUCCAACUCAGCCUUUGUCUCCUCCAUUUGUUCUUUUGUUUUUUGGAUCUCCUCAAUUUUCUUCUCAAUAUCUUCAAUCUGUCCUUGAAUUUCAGUCUUCAUUUUUUCCAUUUUCUCAUUUUCCCGGAUUGUGACUUCUUGGCUGUUCUCAAUAUCCUCUUUGGCUCUGUCUAUCUCAUGUUUAAUUCUUUCUAACUCUUGUCUCUCCCUCAGCAUCUCCUCUUGUCUUCGGUUCAAGCUGUCUUUUUCAGCCUUGAUCUCUGCUUUGAUUAGUUCUGUCAUUUCUCUUUCUUGUCUGGCUUCUUCUCUUAUCUUAAAACUUUCUUCCUUCUCCUUCAGUAUCUUUGCUUUCUCCGUAUCGUUAGCCCUUUGUAUCUCUACUCUUAAACUCUCCACCUCGUCUCUCUCCCUCUGCAGUCGAGCUCUGUGCUCUAGCUCCUCUGUCACUAUCUCAUACCUCUUCUUCUCCAUUUCUUCUUUAGCUUUUCGUAUAUCAUCCUUCUGUUUUUCUAGAAUAUCUUUGUCCUUCUGCAUCUCUAUUUUCAUAUGUUUCACCCUAUCAGUUUCUCUUUUUAUUUCCUCAACUCUGGCAUCCAUAGAUAUCAUGUGAUUUUGUAUGUCCACUUUGGCCUGUCCGAUCUUUUCCCAUUCCUUUUUGACCAACUCUCUAUUCAUCACCAACUCCUCUCGACCUCUCUCAAUUUCAUAUUUCAUCUCUUCCAGAUCCUUUUCUUUUCUUAAAAUAUCUUGCCAUUUCUUUUCAAUGAGGUUGUUUUCUGUAAGCGCUUGAGCUCUCAGCUGGUUUAUUCUCUCAAUCUCUUGUUUUGAAAAAUCUCUGUUUCUUUCAACCUCUUCUCUUGUUCUUUGAAUCUCGUCUUGCAGGUAUUUCAGCUCAUCUUUCUCUCUUUGGAUUAUAGCUCUCUGUUCCAGCCCUUCUUUCUCUGUUUCAUGCCAUCUUUGCUCCAUUUCCAUCUUCACUUGCUGUAUGUCAACUUUAAUCUGCUCAAAUUGGUCUCUUUGCCUCUUGAUGUCAUACUUCUUUCUCUCCAGGUCGCUUUUCUCCUCCUCUAUUUCAGCUUUCAUCUGCUCCAUCUGACACUUUGCUUUCUGUGUUUCCCCGAUCUUCAUCUCUAUCUCGUUGAUCUGAACUUGUAUGGCACUUUUCAUUUGUUCCAUUCGUUCCAUCUCGUACUUUGUGCUUUCACGGUUGCUCUCCAGCUCCUCCUUCUGUCUCAGAGUCUCAUAUCUGAUCAUCUCCAAGUUCUGUCUCUCUCUCAUGAUUUCAUCAUGCUUUUGCUCCAGGGUGGUUUGCUCAGUUUGGAGAUCAGAUCUCAUUUGCUCAAUCCUCUCCCUCUCUCUAUUUACCUCUUCUUUAUUACGAUCCAUUCUUUCGCAGAUGUGGUCCAUCUCAGCUUUCAUGUGAGUAAUAGUUCUCUCAAGUUGUCUUUUCUCAGUGGUCAUCCUGACUAUCUCAUCUUGCUGUUUCUGAAUCCUCUGUCUCAUGUAGUCUAUCUCAGUCCUCUCUUGCUUAGUUCCUUCCCAAAGUUUCUCGAUCUGCUCAAUGGCACGCAUUGUUUCUAGUCUACGCCUUUUUAGAGAGUCUUUUCUUUUCUGGGUGUCACUUGAAUGUCCAUUUCUGUCAUCCUGUCUUCUUUUUUCUCUGGGAGAACUGGGUGGACUGAUUCUCUCUGUUUGUGUAUGCUUGCUGUUGCGUUGUCUCCACUCUGCAAAAUAAUAAUAAAAAAAGAUAAAUAACUAAACUUAUUAUUAUUAUUAAUAAAUAAAUAUUAAUGCAAACGUUUUUUUUUCUUUCUCAUACAACUUAGUAAGUUUGUAGUGCCAUGUUAAUAAUGACCAUGACUGAAUUAACUUAGUGAUAAGAAUUCACAAACUGGACAGAUCCAGUUCUCGUUAAAUGGCACUAUUGCUAUCCACUAAAAUUAAUUAGAUUUUCUAACCUAGUUCUUGAAUCAGUUCAGGCUCUGUCAUUCUCAGGAUGAGAUGGAAGGACACUCUGUUUAGGGGUGGCUCUCUUUCCAAAGCCUCAAACAGGAGCCGCAUUGCCUCCUGCUGGGUUGGAGCAGCCUGCACUUGUUGAGCUGCUGCUUCAUGGAUCAGACUUUGGGAGACAACAGCCUCAGCAAUGUCACUGACCCGAGUAGCCCUCGUAAUUAUCUGCUCCUUGAAUUCUGUCAGGAAAUCUCCAACUGUUGGGAAGGAGAACAUUUGCACUGCAUUAAUAAACAAUGCAUUACACAGUCACAAUUAAAUGUAGAUUAAAUUAAGUAGUGCAGUGAACUUUACCGUAAUCUCUGGAUUCUGCCAUGGCUGCUUGCUUGCUUAAGAAAUUAAUUCCAUUGUGUACUACAGUAUUUAAAAAUAACAAAAUAUCAUUAAAAAUAAAGGAACAUAAGGAAUAAACAUAAAGGAUAAAGUGUACAGAAAUGUAAAGGUGAAGUUAUUUGAGUGUUGUACCGUUUUCAAAAGAUUUUAACUGUGAAAUGUAUUGUAAAAUAGAGAAAAACAAUAAAGCAAGAUAUACAUUCAAUCCAGAUCAUUUUUAUACAUGAGUAUUAAGGAGGCAGAAAUGGGAUUGCAGCAUUUUUUAUAGACUUGCAUUGUUUUCUUGACAAAUGUUUUUAUCCUUUAACUUAAUAAGUAAAACACAUUUUGAAGUUAUAAAUAACAUGAUUAUUAAUAUGUUUUACAAUAAAUAUUAUUUCAGUUUCUCUUCAAAAUGUCAUGUUUAAUUUGUUGCCAUGUCCUUAUAUUUGUUUGUGAAAUUUACUAGCCAUUUCUGAGUGAUUUUUUUUUUCUAGUGCUAAGAUAUGACUUAAGGAACUAAUAUUAUUUUAUAAAAUUGUUUAAAAGAUUCUUACCUUUUGUGAUAUUACUGGAUUUAAUUAGUUCUGUAAAAAGUUGUGGUCUGAUGAUGGAGGCAUAUUGCUCUAGUAAUGGUGAAG
ensembl:lncRNA